UAGCAUUUGUACCAUCUCCUAAAUCCCAUUCUUUUAAUAAAUUUUGCAGCCAAGUUAGGAAGGAUCUACUGUAAGUAGAAAAUUUUCUUGCUAACCACACAGUAAAUGUUGCCAGUCUCUGGUAUAUUUCGGAGAUGCAUCUGUGUCUGUGAUCUCGCCCCAGGCUGUACACAUUUGGAACUGAAACACUUACUCUGUGUCACAAUAAUGUGCUUAUGGACCAUGUAAAAACAACAAAUAUUAAAACAUUUUCAAGUCUUCUACAACAAAUUAAUUGAUGCAUAAGGAGGGGAAAAUACAAGCUCUCUCUAGGAAGAAGUGUCUGGAUAAAACAUCUAUAAGGGAAAAUGUAUCUGGAAGGUGGCUUUUGAGCAAUAUUCCUGCCCAUUGCUGGAUGUUCCUGUGAGAACAAGAUGCCAUCUUGUGGUUGGAUUUUCUUCUCCCAAACCCGAGCUUGCUUUUCCGAGAAACUAGUUCAACUGUCCUGACAGCUUGAGAAAGCAAAAUAAUUAAACCUGCAUUUUUGGAUUUAAUUAUGAACUCAAGUGCUCAACUAAGACCUACAGACUUUUACAAUAAAACCUGGACAGUUUCAAGCUGGCAUGCCCAAGGAAAACAGCUUGCUCUGAAUGCACAUUAAGGGUUGGCCAGUGUAUGUGUAAAGCAGAGGUGCUACAGCACCAUUUCAUAGCCAACGAGCAUCAGGACCAGAGAAGAAAGCAGAGGACAUGAUGGCAGUUCCAUUUCUCUUGGGUGCAUCCUCAUCCAUGUCAGCCAAGGCACAGCCACCGGCGCUCUGGGCUUUGCUCAGACAUGCCACAUGAAAAGCCCUCACCAAGCCCUUUCCCAGCUCACUGCUUUUCGUGAGAAGCAGCCUUUUCCCUCAGCUGACACAGAUACGUGGACAUAUCUCCAACAGGGUGGGUGCAAAGUCUCUCCAAAGACAGACCUGCCUUGCGGCAGGUGUCCCCAGGCCAUGCCUGGAGUUCUUCUCAUGCUGUGACAUCUUCAGUCCUUCCUUGGCUGGUCAUGCAGAGCUGUGAGUGCAGGCCUUGGUCCCUGGUGGUCUCUAACAGGUUAAGCCCCUGUCCUGGUUCAGGGAAAAUUUGGGAGAGAACCCCAAAAUGGGUUCUUCUACAAAGCAGAGUCGGUCAGCCUCUCCCCUAGC
rnacentral:lncRNA from 1 species